UGAUCAGGUGUGAAAUUUCUUCGGCAGCACAAACUCUGAUGCAUGCUACAUAGCGUAUUAAAAAAUUUGAGCUGUUUCAAAGUUGACCAGGCAAAUUGAAACAGUGCGCACACGGCCAAUCCUCUCACCAAUCUGAUCCUUUGUUGAACUCAUUCAACAAGACGUUGAGGCGAAUUCAAACCGCGCGCGAAGCCAAAACUGUAUUAAAAUUUCAACCAUUUUAAAGUUGAUCAGGUGUGAAAUUUCUUCGGCAGCGCAAACUCUGAUGCAUGCUACAUAGCGUAUUAAAAAAUUUGAGCUGUUUCAAAGUUGACCAGGCAAAUUGAAACAGCGCGCACACGGCCAAUCCUCUAACAAAUCUGAUCCUUUGUUGAACUCAUUCAACAAGACGUUGAGGCGAAUUCAAACCGCGCGCGAAGCCAAAACUGUAUUAAAAUUUCAACCACUUUAAAGUUGAUCAGGCGCGAAAUUUCUUCGGCAGCACAAACUCUGAUGCAUGCUACAUAGCGUAUUAAAAAAUUUGAGCUGUUUCAAAGUUGACCAGGCAAAUUGAAACAGCGUGCACACGGCCAAUCCUCUCACCAAUCUGAUCCUUUGUUGAACUCAUUCAACAAGACGUUGAGGCGAAUUCAAACCGCGCGCGAAGCCAAAACUGUAUUAAAAUUUCAACCAUUUUAAAGUUGAUCAGGCAUAAAAUUUCUUCCGCAGCCGAAACUCUAGUGAUGCAUGCAACGUGGUGUAUUAAAAAAUUUCAGCUGUUUCAAAGUUGACCAGGCAAAUUGAAACAGCGCGCACACGGCCAAUCCUCUCACCAAUCUGAUCCUUUGUUGAACUCAUUCAACAAGACGUUGAGGCGAAUUCAAACCGCGCACGAAGCCAAAACUGUAUUAAAAUUUCAACCAUUUUAAAGUUGAUCAGGCAUAAAAUUUCUUCCGCAGCCGAAACUCUAGUGAUGCAUGCAACGUGGUGUAUUAAAAAAUUUCAGCUGUUUCAAAGUUGACCAGGCAAAUUGAAACAGCGCGCACACGGCCAAUCCUCUCACCAAUCUGAUCCUUUGUUGAACUCAUUCAACAAGACGUUGAGGCGAAUUCAAACCGCGCGCGAAGCCAAAACUGUAUUAAAAUUUCAACCAUUUUAAAGUUGAUCAGGCAUGAAAUUUCUUCCGCAGCCGAAACUCUGAUGUAUGCAACUGUAUUAAAAUUUGAACCAAAGUUGACAAGGCCUUGUAAACUGAAAAUGAUGUGAAUAAUAAAGAUGAACACUUACCUUGAGAGCCGUUGUCUUGGGCGGGUUCAUUUCGGGCAUACAUCAGUAUAAAAUAACAAAAACAAACACAUUGUCAGGCAAAAAACAAGAAACCAAAACUCUCAUGCAACUGUAUUAAAAUUUCAACCAUUUUAAAGCUGAUCAGGCGUGAAAUUUCUUCCGCAGGCGAAACUCUGAUGCAUGCAACGUAGUGUAUUAAAAAAUUUCAGCCGUUUCAAAGUUGACCAGGCAAAUUGAAACAGCGCGCACACGGCCAAUCCUCUCACCAAUCUGAUCCUUUGUUGAACUCAUUCAACAAGACGUUGAGGCGAAUUCAAACCGCGCGCGAAGCCAAAACUGUAUUAAAAUUUCAACCAUUUUAAAGUUGAUCAGGCAUAAAAUUUCUUCCGCAGCCGAAACUCUAGUGAUGCAUGCAACGUGGUGUAUUAAAAAAUUUCAGCUGUUUCAAAGUUGACCAGGCAAAUUGAAACAGCGCCACACGGCCAAUCCUCUCACCAAUCUGAUCCUUUGUUGAACUCAUUCAACAAGACGUUGAGGCGAAUUCAAACCGCGCGCGAAGCCAAAACUGUAUUAAAAUUUCAACCAUUUUAAAGUUGAUCAGGUGUGAAAUUUCUUCGGCAGCGCAAACUCUGAUGCAUGCUACAUAGCGUAUUAAAAAAUUUGAGCUGUUUCAAAGUUGACCAGGCAAAUUGAAACAGCGCGCACACGGCCAAUCCUCUAACAAAUCUGAUCCUUUGUUGAACUCAUUCAACAAGACGUUGAGGCGAAUUCAAACCGCGCGCGAAGCCAAAACUGUAUUAAAAUUUCAACCAUUUUAAAGUUGAUCAGGCGUGAAAUUUCUUCGGCAGCACAAACUCUGAUGCAUGCUACAUAGCGUAUUAAAAAAUUUGAGCUGUUUCAAAGUUGACCAGGCAAAUUGAAACAGCGUGCACACGGCCAAUCCUCUCACCAAUCUGAUCCUUUGUUGAACUCA